rnacentral:lncRNA from 1 species
UGAAAAUGAUUGAAUACAACUUCUGUGGUGAGAAAAACAACUUAAAGAAUAUGAAGACUGGCUAAAGUUGAACUUCAGGUCACGAGAGAUGUUCAUAAGCUUAAGCUGUGAAAGGGAGCUGCAGGGAGCAUUCAGAGGUCACGUUUCUACCGCCACAAAGUACAGAAACACACAGAUGUUCUUGGAAUGUGUUUUGUGUUCCUCCCAGGUGUAGCUGAUACGAAAAGUCUUCUGUAUCUCUCCAACAAAUAGCACGACCAAGUCAGUCACAGCAGUACCUCAUGCCUGGUCACAACUUCUGUCCUAAUCAGCCUUCUAUUGCUGUGACAAGACACCAUAACCAGUGGAAAUAAAAGGCAGCUUUUACUUGGGAGGCUUGCUUUCAUAUUAGAGGGAGAAUAGUCUCUAUGUCACAGGUGACAUCCUGACUUCCUAGGAGCACCAGGAUUCCCAUCUCCACAAGAGACACCUUUUCACAACCGGAGAGAAAUAAACUUGUUUAGAAUUUAAGAGCCAGUGGAAUGCCUUUGGGCUUGGGCUCACUGGUUACUUAAAUCAAAUCAUUUUCUUUUUCUGGAUGUCUUAAAUCCCAAUGAUCACCAUAGGACCCAUUAGGAAGUCCAUGCAAAUUCUAGAAGGUUCCAUAGG